rnacentral:rRNA from 1 species
GACGUAGGGCGCAAGCGUUGUCCGGAAUUAUUGGGCGUAAAGAGCUCGUAGGCGGCUUGUUGCGUCGACUGUGAAAACCCGUGGCUCAACCAUGUGGUCUGCAGUCGAUACGGGCAGACUUGAGGCAUUCAGGGGAGAACGGAAUUCCUGGUGUAGCGGUGAAAUGCGCAGAUAUCAGGAGGAACACCGGUGGCGAAGGCGGAUCUCUGGGCCUUACCUGACGCUCAGGCGCGAAAGCUAGGGGAGCGAACAGG